GUGUCGGUGGUUCAAUGGUAGGAUACUCGCCUGUCACGAUGAUUGUCCGGGUUCAGUUCCCGGCCAACAUU
rfam:Schistosoma mansoni strain Puerto Rico chromosome 6, complete genome